AGCUUGCUCCAUAUUUAACUUUGCAUAACUUGCCCCAUGUAAAACCACUUCUGGAGACCACCAAAAGAGAUGCAAAUGGUGAGAAGAAGCCAGAAAAUAACCUGAUCACCUUCACAGACCACACAAGCAUAAAAGUAAAGGAACAUAAAGAUGAUUCCGUUCACAAACAGUCUGAGAUGCAUUUGGACUUUAUUCAAAAUGAUUGCAGUUUUGGUUCAGGGAAUCUCCGCAGUGGAUAUUUUGGACUUGGGCAGGACUCAGACACUUCACUGUCUUUUUUUACCGGAUCUGCAUUAGUACCAUAAGGAAAAAUAUUUAUGACAGGGUGAAAAUCAUCAUGCUGAUGUUUAUAUGGCUCAAAUUUCAUGUCGAAGCCGAAGGACCCCCAAGAAAGGGGAAGCACUUUGGACCUACUACCAGUACCUGUCCUGUUUGUGAGACUAAACAUGAGCCCAACUCUUUGGACCAAUUCACCAAGGAUAGCAAGAAACUGAAUUAAGGAUGGAUAAGCCGCUUCACGCUCACCUCAGAGUCAUUUGAGUUGCCAUGUGUUUGCUGUUUGUUCAUCAGCUGACUAGAGUGCAUGCAGCAUUUGAGCAGUAAUGAGGUUUUCACAAAUCGUAUCCUUCAAACCUCCAGUGAAUCAAUGGACACAUAAGAUUGUUGUCAUCGUAGACCAGUUGGGAGUUUGGCUUCAGGGCGUCUCUCUAAAGUGUUGCUAAUAUCCUUCAGAGGUAACAGCCAGUCCUGUGACGUGCCAUUUAAACACUAAACUCAUUCAGCCUGUGUCAACUGCACAACAUUACCA
ensembl:lncRNA